GACGAACCGUGCGAACGUUGUUCGGAUUCACUGGGCUUAAAGGGCGCGUAGGCGGCUUGCCAAGUCAGGGGUGAAAUCUUUCGGCUCAACCGGAAAAGUGCUUCUGAUACUGGCGGGCUGGAGGAGGGUAGGGGGCGGAUGGAACUUCCGGUGGAGCGGUGAAAUGCGUAGAUAUCGGAAGGAACGCCGGUGGCGAAAGCGAUCCGCUGGACCCUUUCUGACGCUGAGGCGCGAAAGCCAGGGGAGCAACGGG
rnacentral:rRNA from 1 species